AGAGGUUGAUUCAGGCUCAGGACAAACGCAUGUCGCGUUACUUAGUCAUUCAAGUUCGAACGCGAAAGCCCUUUCGGGGGUGACUAGAGAGCGAACGGUGAAGUAACACGUGGGUACCAGCCCCUCGCAGAGGGAUAACCCAGAGGAAACCCCGCUAAUACACCGUACGCAUAGCCGGGGCGACAUGCUCCGACAAGGAAAAGGUAGCUUCGGACCAUCCGUCGAGGGAGGGACCCGCGGCCCAUUAGACUAGUUGGUGGGGUAACGGCCCACCAAGACGACGAUGAGUAGCUGGCCUGAGAGGGUGGUCAACCACACUGGGGAUGAGACACGGCCCAGACUCGUACGGGAGGCAGCACCCAGGAAUCUUGCGCAAUGGGCGAAAGCUUGACGCAGCAACGCCGCGUGGGCGAUGAAGGCCUUCGGGUCGUAAAGCCCUGUUUUCGGGGACGAAGGGUGAAGGGUUAAUAGCCCCUAGCCUGACGGUACCCGACGAGGAAGCCCCGGCUAAUUACGUGCCAGCAGCCGCGGUAAUACGUAGGGGGCGAGCGUUGUCCGGAAUCAUUGGGCGUAAAGAGCGUGUAGGCGGCCCGGUAAGUCUGCUGUGAAAACCCGGGGCUCAACCCCGGGCGUGCAGUGGAAACUGCCGGGCUAGAGGGCGGCAGAGGCGAGUGGAAUUCCCGGUGUAGCGGUGAAAUGCGCAGAUAUCGGGAGGAACCCCAGUAGCGAAGGCGGCUCGCUGGGCCGUUCCUGACGCUGAGACGCGAAAGCUAGGGGAGCGAACAGGAUUAGAUACCCUGGUAGUCCUAGCCGUAAACGAUGGGCACUAGGUGUGGGGGGAGUCGAAUCCCUCCGUGCCGCAGCCAACGCGUUAAGUGCCCCGCCUGGGGAGUACGGCCGCAAGGCUAAAACUCAAAUGAAUUGACGGGG
rnacentral:rRNA from 1 species